UACGUAGGGUGCGAGCGUUGUCCGGAAUUAUUGGGCGUAAAGAGCUCGUAGGCGGUGUGUCACGUCGGCCGUGAAAACCUGCAGCUUAACUGUGGGCGUGCGGUCGAUACGGGCAUCACUGGAGUUCGGCAGGGGAGACUGGAAUUCCUGGUGUAGCGGUGAAAUGCGCAGAUAUCAGGAGGAACACCGGUGGCGAAGGCGGGUCUCUGGGCCGUAACUGACGCUGGAGGAGCGGAAAGCAUGGGGAGCGAACAGG
rnacentral:rRNA from 1 species